rnacentral:lncRNA from 1 species
ACGAAGCCUUGACCAGUAGCUAUCAUCUAAUUGAUUCUAAGUAUUUCAUGUACGUGCAUGCAUGCAUGGGAUCUCAAGAAUUUUGACGUUAAUUUGAUUGUAAAAAGAAACGGACAAUAAUGCAUAUUAAGUUAGUCACAGAGAGCAUCUUCCAUGCAGAAAUUCGUGCCAUGUAAGUCGUUCAACUUAGAAAUGUGUUGUCACAUUAAUCAAGUCAUUCCACAUGAUAUCACCUAGUAUUGCAGGUGCUCAUGACAUGCUUAAUAUUCCAUCCAUGGGAGGGGAUGGACACCUCCACGAAAUUAAUGUGUUCGGAAAAGGAUAUUACUACCACCCCUCGAGACAAUAUGUUAUUACCAUGGUAAAUAAAUUAGAUUAAUUUGGUUACGCCUAGGGAUGAAUGAUGUAUUUUUGCAUAAUUUAUGUGUAUAAAUAGUGCAUGUCACUCUGCCUAAAUCACUCAAUUACAUUCAACACUAGUGUGUUUCUUCUCUCAUAGCCAGUGACCAAUAGAAAUAGCUA